rnacentral:rRNA from 1 species
AAGGAAUAUUGCUCAAUGGGAGAAAUCCUGAAGCAGCAACGCCGCGUGGAGGAUGAAAUACUUUUGUAUGUAAACUCCUGUAAGAAGGGAAAAAUACACAGUUGUUCUGUGUUGAUUGUACCUUCAGAGUAAGCCCCGGCUAACUACGUGCCAGCAGCCGCGGUAAUACAUAGGGGGCAAGCGUUGUCCGGAUUUACUGGGUGUAAAGGGUGCUCAGGUGGAUUUGUAAGUCAGAGGUGAAAUCCCAAAGCUUAACUUUGGUGCUGCCUUUGAUACUGCAAGUCUUGAGUUUGAGAGAGGAUAAUGGAAUAUCUGGUGUAGCAGUGAAAUGCGUAGAUAUCAGAUAGAACACCAAUGGCGAAGGCAGUUAUCUGGCUCAAAACUGACGCUAAAGCACGAAAGUGUGGGGAGCAAAC